rnacentral:rRNA from 1 species
AUGCAGGUGAUCGCCGUUGAAAGACGGUUUCCUCUUCGGAGGCACCUGCACAGGUGCUGCAUGGCUGUCGUCAGCUCGUGUCGUGAGAUGUUGGGUUAAGUCCCGCAACGAGCGCAACCCUUAUCCCCAGUUGCCAUCAGGUAAAGCUGGGAACUCUGGGGAGACUGCCGGUGAUAAACCGGAGGAAGGCGGGGAUGACGUCAAGUCCUCAUGGCCCUUACAUCCCGGGCUACACACGUGCUACAAUGGCAGGUACAGAGGGCUGCGAAGCCGGCGAGGUGGAGCGAAUCCCAGAAAACCUGUCUCAGUCCGGAUUGAAGUCUGCAACUCGACUUCAUGAAGGCGGAAUCGCUAGUAACCGCGAAUCAGCAGGUCGCGGUGAAUACGUUCCCGGGCCUU